AUGCUGCUCUCCUUUCUCCUGUUCGGACUUCCGUUUGUAAAAGAGCACAUGGAUUUUUCUUUUUUGUGUGUGUGCUAGUUUGUUCAAAACUCAAAUUGCAGGCUUCAGGUCUUUGGUGUAGGCCUCUUGCUGAUGCCAGUUGAGCUCAGGUGGGGCGCCAAUUAACUAUUAACGAGCUGAUUUAAGUAAUGAAUUACCGGCUGUGAUCCGCUGUGCUCUGCUUUCCUGGCCUGCUCCAGCGUGGACGUGUGUGUGCUUUCCUCUCGCCUCCCGGAACUUCUUGGGAGGAGGAGAGGCAUCGCAGCUGUGCAGUGUGGGAAAAACAUGAACUCCAGAAGAGCUUGCAUUGGGAGUUGUAUGGUGUGGGGGCACAAACUCAAUGGGGAAAUCGCUGCUUCUGAAUCCCAUUAAAACCUGACUCCAGCUCCAAUCUGGUCUGUGAUUUUUAGCUACUGUAUAAACAGCAUCAUGAUCUCUGUCUUUGUCUCUCACCCUUGU